AUGCAUGUCAAGAGGACUUCUAGUGAAUUCUCAGGACCGUUUCUUCUGAGGCAAGAGAUUCUGAGCAUCCUGCAGGUUGGUCAGCAACUCACAAACUUAGGGAAGCUGAUUGAACCUCCCAGGUGUUAUCCAAUUUCUGGCCAUGCAACACUUUAUUGGUACCGACAGACCCCAGGGCAUGGCCCAGAGUUUUUGAUUUACUUCCAAGGCAGGGACACAGCAGACAAAGCAGGAAUGCCUGGUGACUGCUUCUCUGCUGAGAGGCUGGAUGGCUCAUUCUCUACUCUGAAGAUCCAGCCCACAGAGCAGGGGGACUCAGCUGUGUAUCUCUGUGCCAGCAGCUCAGCUACAUUUAAGGCCCUUGUGAUUACAUCGGGCCCACCUGAGAAAUCCAGGACACUCUCCUUAUAUUAG